rnacentral:rRNA from 1 species
GCCGUGGGCGCUGGAGAAUUGAGGGGGGCUGCUCCUAGUACGAGAGGACCGGAGUGGACGCAUCACUGGUGUUCGGGUUGUCAUGCCAAUGGCACUGCCCGGUAGCUAAAUGCGGAAGAGAUAAGUGCUGAAAGCAUCUAAGCACGAAACUUGCCCCGAGAUGAGUUCUCCCUGAGACYUURAGUCUCCUGAAGGAACGUUGAAGACGACGACGUUGAUAGGUCGGGUGUGUAAGCGCAGCGAUGCGUUGAGCUAACCGAUACUAAUGAACCGUGAGGCUUAACCUU